rnacentral:rRNA from 1 species
UACGGGGGGGGCAAGCGUUGUUCGGAAUUACUGGGCGUAAAGGGCUCGUAGGCGGCCAGCUAAGUCAUACGUGAAAUCCCUCGGCUUAACCGGGGAACUGCGUCUGAUACUGGAUGGCUUGAGAUUGGGAGAGGGAUGCGGAAUUCCAGGUGUAGCGGUGAAAUGCGUAGAUAUCUGGAGGAACACCGGUGGCGAAGGCGGCAUCCUGGACCAACACUGACGCUGAGGAGCGAAAGCCAGGGGAGCAAACGGG